rnacentral:tRNA from 1 species
CAGGGAGACAACAAUAUGUUAAAUAUUAAUUUUGUCACCUUAGGUCGAUCGGUAUCUCACAUUCUUGAUUAUUUAAGGAUUUUAUUUCCUAAGUUUUUUCUAGGUCACACCCAUUACUUUUCCUGGGCCAUUAGCUCAGGUGGUUAGAGCGCACCCCUGAUAAGGGUGAGGUCCCUGGCUCAAGUCCAGGAUGGCCCAUAUCUCUAUGUUGGGGGUAUAGCUCAGUUGGUAGAGCGCCUGCUUUGCAAGCAGGAUGUCAGCGGUUCGAGUCCGCUUACCUCCACUGAUCACCACCUCUUCAUAAUUUAUAGAAGGGAAUUGUUUUGAGUUAUGAUCAAAUUCUGAACGAAUCUAGCUUCCUAAUUGAAUCUAUUAAGAUGCUGGACUCAUUGAAUUAAUUUCAUUGUUUUCAGAGAACCUUGACAACUGCAUAGAUUAUUUUAAAGACAAUAAGCAUCUUUAAUGAUGCAGAUUUAUUAUUUGUGCGAAUGCAUUAAAUAACAAUUCUAUCAAGCUGAUGCUUCAAUUUUUGAAGUUAUU